UACGUAGGGUGCAAGCGUUGUCCGGAAUUAUUGGGCGUAAAGAGCUCGUAGGCGGUUUGUCGCGUCGGCUGUGAAAAACUCGGGGCUCAACCCCGAGCCUGCAGUCGAUACGGGCAGACUAGAGUGCUGUAGGGGAGACUGGAAUUCCUGGUGUAGCGGUGAAAUGCGCAGAUAUCAGGAGGAACACCGGUGGCGAAGGCGGGUCUCUGGGCAGUAACUGACGCUGAGGAGCGAAAGCGUGGGGAGCGAACAGG
rnacentral:rRNA from 1 species